GCACUAACAUUUCUGCAACGUUUAGGCAACACUUGCUUACAGAUAGUCUACCUUCAAAGCCCCACACAGCUCUUUGUAGGUAGGCAAUCUGCCAGACUUGAAAGAAUGAUGCAUUACUACAAACGUUGAGGAAAUAAUCUUUCCAUAACCUAAAUGUAACAUUUCAAUAGUUCUGUUGACACAACGUUAGGCUCUUUAUCCUGUCUGUGUAGAGAUGUCAGACGUAACGUUAGGCUCUUUAUCCUGUCUGUGUAGAGAUGUCAGACGUAACGUUAGGCUCUUUAUCCUGUCUGUGUAGAGAUGUCAGACGUAACGUUAGGCUCUUUAUCCUGUCUGUGUAGAGAUGUCAGACGUAACGUUAGGCUCUUUAUCCUGUCUGUGUAGAGAUGUCAGACGUAACGUUAGGCUCUUUAUCCUGUCUGUGUAGAGAUGUCAGACGUAACGUUAGGCUCUUUAUCCUGUCUGUGUAGAGAUGUCAGACGUAACGUUAGGCUCUUUAUCCUGUCUGUGUAGAGAUGUCAGACGUAACGUUAGGCUCUUUAUCCUGUCUGUGUAGAGAUGUCAGACGUAACGUUAGGCUCUUUAUCCUGUCUGUGUAGAGAUGUCAGACGUAACGUUAAGCUCUUUAUCCUGUCUGUGUAGAGAUGUCAGACGUAACGUUAAGCUCUUUGUCCUGUCUGUGUAGAGAUUUCAGACGUAACGUGAGGCUCUUUAUCCUGUCUGUGUAGAGAUGUCAGACGUAACGUUAUCAGAUGUAAUGCAAAGUGGAUGUAAGACAAACAAGUAGUAGUACAAACAAGAUUACUUUACCAGGAUUCGGCAACAGACGGCGGCCCGCAGGCCAAAACCGGUCGAAGGAGAUUGUAAAAAUCACCAGAAAUUCAGCCCCAGUAAAUCUGUUCCUCAUGUUUUCCCACGAAUAAAUAAAGAGACAUAGGUAAUGGUGCCUCGGUAAAGUCAAGGUUUGAAAUGAUUGUAUUUGAAAAAUACAAUCUCUUUUUGAGCUUAGCUGUGGUCAAUUUGCAGAUGAUUAGAAUUAUGUUCUGGCCCCCGGACCACAAAAAUCAUCUUUCAUCAUCUAGUUGCCAACCCCUGCCGUACAGUAUGGCUUUCAGGGGUAAAGGUUGAUUAUGAUAUAUGCAUUUAAAUAGUAUAUAUAUAUAUACUAUUUAAAUGCAUAUAUCAUGCAUAUAUCAUAUAUAUAUAUUAAUGACGAUUAGCAGAUCACAUUGAUUUCAUCCUAAUUAUAAUCAUUUUUAAUUUGAAAAGUACAUUUUUCUGUCUUUUUGUGCUGCCGUUGAAUUAAUUGAAUGAACUGAAUAUAAAAUAAUAAAAUGUAGACACGUUAUCUAUGAGUACACAGUGUUGUUCUGUACAUCUAUUACAGCACAGGUGUGUUGAGGUAGCAUAGUUCUGCUUUGAAUAACUUUGAAUAAUCCGAGAUUCAAAUGUUUGAUGCAAAUGGGUUUGGAGAACACAGCCUUGUUCUAAAAUGGGUUAAAUAGUUGUUUUACACACAAUAACCCAUAAUGACAUCACAAUACCCCAUAAUGACAUCACAAUACCCCAUAAUGACAUCACAAUACCCCAUAAUGACAAAUCAAAAAAAAUAUAUAUUUUAAAUUUUUUGCAAAUGUAUUCAAAAUAAAAAUACAGAAAUAGGGCCUCCCGGGUGGCGCAGUGGUUAAGGGCGCUGUGCUGCAGCUCCAUCUCUGGGUUCGCGCCCAGGCUCUGUCGUAACCGGCCGUGACCGGGCGGUCCAUGGGGCGACGCACAAUUGGCCUAGCGUCGUCCGGGUUAGGGAGGGGUUGGCCGGUAGGGAUAUCCUUGUCUCAUUGCGCACCAGCGACUCCUGUGGCAGGCCGGGCGCAGUGCACGCUAACCAAGGUUGCCAGGUGCACACAUUGGUGCGGCUGGCUUCCGGGUUGGAUGGAGCUGUGUUAAGAAGCAGUGCGGCUUGGUUGGGUUGUGUAUCGGAGGACGCAUGACUUUCAACCUUCGUCUCUCCCGAGCCCAUACGGGAGUUGUAGCGAUGAGACAAGAUAGUAGCUACUAAAAACAAUUGGAUACCACGAAAACAGAAAUAUAAAAAAAACUGAAAUAUAGCUUAUUUUACAUAAGUAUUCAGACCCUUUUCUAUGAGACUUAACAUUGACCUCAGGUGCAUCCUGUUUCCAUGGAUCCUCUUGAGAUGUUUCUACAACUUGAUUGGAGUCCACCUGUGUCAAUUGAUUGGACAUGAUUUGGGGAAGGGUACCAAAAACUGUCUGCAUCAUUGAAGGUCCCCAAAAACACACUGGCCUCCAUCAUUCUUAAAUAGAAGAAGUUUGGAACCAACAAGACUCUUCCGGCCAAACUGAGCAAUCGGGGGAAAAUGGCCUUGGUCAGCGAGGUGCCCAAGAACCCGAUGGUGAAAAUAUAUUUCGUCUGAGGAAAUAAAUCCAUAAGGACAACCUUCUCUGCAGUACAAUCAGGCCUUUAUGGUAGAGUGGCCAGACGGAAGCCACUCCCCAGUAAAAGGCACAUGACAGCCCGCUUGGAGUUUGACAAACGGAACCUAAAGACUCUCAGACCAUGAGAAACUAGAUUCUCUGGUCUGAUGAAACCAAGAUUGAACACUUUGGCCUGAAUGCCAAGCGUCACAUCUGAAGGAAACCUGGCACCAUCCCUACUGUGAAGCAUGGUGGUGGCAGCAUCAUGCUGUGGGGAUGUUUUUCAGCUGCAGGGACUGGGAGACUAGUCAGGAUCGAGGGAAAGAUGAACAGAGUAAAGUACAGGGAGAUCCUUGAUGAAAACCUAAGGCAGAGCAAUUAAGGCUUCAGACCAGGGUGAAAGUUCACCUUACAACAGGACAACGAACCUAAGCACACAGCCAAGAUAAUGCCGGAGUGGCUUUGGGACAAGUCUCUGAAUGUCCUUGAGUGGCCCAGCCAGAGCCCGGACUUGAACCCGAUCGAACAUCUCUGGAGAGACCUGAAAAUAUCUGUGCAAUGACACUGCCCAUCCAACCUGACAGAGAGGAUCUGCAGAGAAGAACGUGAGAAACUCCCCAAAUACAGGUGUGUCAAGCUUGAAGCGUCAUACCCAAGAAGACUCCAUGCUGUAAUCGCUGCAGAAGGUGCUUCAGCAAAGUACUGAGUAAAGGUACUGAAGACUUAUAUACAUGUCAUAUUUCAGGUUUUUAGCUUUUAUAAAUGAGCUAAAAUGUAAAAAAAAUAUAUGUUUUUUCCUUGUCAUAAUGGGGUAUUGUGAUGUCAUAAUGGGGUAUUGUGAUGUCAUAAUGGGGUAUUGUGAUGUCAUAAUGGGGUAUUGUGUGUAGAUUGAUGAGGCAAAGAACUGUAACUGUAACGUUGGAAAAGUAAAGGGGUCUGAAUAGUUUGGAAAGGCUCUGAAUGCUGCUGCUAUUCUAUAGACAGAGUGUGUCAAGCUGUCCUGUGUGUGUUUCACUGUUUUCUGCUGUGUCAGUGCUGUGUGGAGGAGCAUGAGCAGCUGGCAAUUACAUGGUUAUGUCUCUCUCUCUCUCUCUCUCACUCACUCACAUUGAAUUCUCCACCCCCACACAGACUCUUUCCAUUCCUCUCUCCCCU